UCGAACGGCACCCCUCUCCGGAGGGAAGCGAGUGGCGAACGGCUGAGUAACACGUGGAGAACCUGCCCCCUCCCCCGGGAUAGCCGCCCGAAAGGACGGGUAAUACCGGAUACCCCCGGGCGCCGCAUGGCGCCCGGGCUAAAGCCCCGACGGGAGGGGGAUGGCUCCGCGGCCCAUCAGGUAGACGGCGGGGUGACGGCCCACCGUGCCGACAACGGGUAGCCGGGUUGAGAGACCGACCGGCCAGAUUGGGACUGAGACACGGCCCAGACUCCUACGGGAGGCAGCAUG
rnacentral:rRNA from 1 species